rnacentral:rRNA from 1 species
CGACGUAGUAGGUACGGUAGGACGGAGAGUAGAAGUCGAGGACGCUUCCUUCGGGAAGCGAGCGUACACAGGUGCUGCAUGGCUGUCGUCAGCUCGUGUCGUGAGAUGUUGGGUUAAGUCCCGCAACGAGCGCAACCCUUGUGUUUAGUUGCAAACAGGUCAAGCUGUGCACUCUAGACAGACUGCCGUGGACAACACGGAGGAAGGUGGGGAUGACGUCAAAUCAUCAUGCCCCUUAUGAUCUGGGCUACACACGUGCUACAAUGGCCGGUACAACGGGCAGCGAAGGAGCGAUCCGGAGCGAAUCCUAAAAAGCCGGUCCCAGUUCGGAUUGCAGGCUGAAACUCGCCUACAUGAAGUUGGAGUUGCUAGUAAUCGCGAAUCAGAAUGUCGCGGUGAAUGCGUUCCCGGGUCUU